rnacentral:rRNA from 1 species
GACAGAGGGUGCAAACGUUGCUCGGAAUUACUGGGCGUAAAGCGUGCGCAGGCGGUUGUGCAAGACAGAUGUGAAAUCCCCGGGCUCAACCUGGGAAUUGCAUUUGUGACUGCACGGCUAGAGUGUGUCAGAGGGGGGUAGAAUUCCACGUGUAGCAGUGAAAUGCGUAGAGAUCCGGAGGAACACCGACGGCGCAGGCAGCGUCCUGGCCGCUUGCUGACACUGAGGCACGAAAGCUGGGGGAGCAAACAGG